GACCUCAGCAUACUGAUAGCUUCUGUGCAGGGACUGUUUCCUAGGCUACCUGGUCGGAGCUGAACUCUAAUCAUGGCAGUCGGAGGGAGAACCAUCAUUAUCUAUGUAACUAGGAAUGCAGAUAUCACAAGUAAUUUACAAUAUGCUGAGAGCCGCAGGUUAUUUCCAGAGGCCCAACAGUUAGGAACUGAUGUAGAAGCAACUCCAUCAUCCUCUGAGACAAAACAGCAACUGACUCCUGUGUGAUCAGCAAUGUGUUAUCUAGUUUUUGGGGAGGGGACUUUCUCAUUCAUGAUGAGUCACUGGUUUGUUCGUGUGCUGAAGAGGUUCAGCCUUGGGGACGUCUGAGGGACUGGCCUGAGCUUCCUGUCCACUACCUGUUUGGAAUAUCUAUUGUUCUAAUAAAAGUGAUUUUACCUUUCA